CUCUGCGGCAGGAAGGCUUACGUCAGACGUCGCUUGCGCUCUCCUGCGCUACUUAUGAAGUUUGGCCUUUCUCAGCUACCCUCGUCCCCCUACUGGUUUGGUAGCUGGUGUUUUGUUAUCUGUUGCUUACUUGUCUGAAGAAACAGCUUUCCGAGUACGUUUGAGAGAACUUUUAGUUUUCCCUGGCCGCCAGAUAUUUGAGAAUGAGAAAGAACGUUUUGUUGUUGAGAGGAUAAUAGAUUGAAUGCAAAGUUAUACUUGUAAUGGGAUAUUUAAUUGGAGCUGUUUCCCCAAGAAGUGUGAUGUUUUCUGAACCUGAUUUUAUCGAAUCCCAAAAGGUUUCAUGUUGACGACUUUGGGUUGCAAAGCAGUUUGGGACACUGCACUGAGACUGAGCCCUGCCCUAGAUUGCGCCCAGUGAUGCUCUACUCUAACCACGGCGGAUUAUGGUGCAUCCUUCACUCAGCGCCUUGGCAACACGCAUUCGCUGACUGGAAGCAUUGCGUAGGGCGCCCAGUUUCAGGCUUGGGGGCGGAGAAGGAGGAGCCAGAGGAGUAAUAAAUGUUUUCAGCCCUAAACCCCUUCCAGCUCUGAUCCAGCAUCUUCUCUCCGUUAACUCCGGUCCCCUUCCCAACGAGUCAGCAUGGGAAAGGAGAGUUUAUUUUAUUCCUCUUCCAGGAAAAUUCCUCAGCAUCCUAGAGCCAGCCAUAUGUCGCAUUUUCUCGUUAACACUGGACUGAACUGGUGGUAAUGGGUUGUUUAAAGUGACUUUUGCAAUCCCCUCGUCUAAAUCCUGUUUUCACUAAAUCUUUUGCACACCGAAUAUUGAGUUCAAAAUAUAAAUCUAAAAUAUGCAAAUGAGUGCAAGUAAGGAGAAGAAAACAGUUGAGGUGAGGAGAGGAAAGCAAAUCUACAUAGAUAAAAUGAAGUUUCUGUCUGUGAAGCAUAAUGAGAAAAUGGCUGGACAUGGAUUUGCACCAGAUUUGUGGAAAAAGCUAGACUUAAGGUAUCUGUUAAGUGACAUGAAUGAAAGUGUAUGAAAUGCACAUUGUGUGAGAGAGACUUUGAGGAGAUAAGCAUUCAUAUUCCAAAGCAUCUGAAAUAAAUUCUAUGCCUGCUAUGGAGAUGGCCAUGGCUCACACAUUUAGCCAGAAUAGGAACCUUAUAAUAUUAAGGGUAGACACUCAGCAAUACAGACUUUUGUUUUUAAAUAAUCACUUUUCAUGUGAGAAAUAACUAGUAUAUAGCAUGCUCCAGGGUGAACAGCAACAGGGAUCGAUACAAGGAUGACUAACGCUUUUCCAAACAACCUGGAGAAAAUAGUUUGUGGAUAACAAACUGUGAUGAGAAGGCAUACAGGCAAAGGGACAAUGUUCAUCUGUCCAUUGGGACAUCAACAAACUGCCCUGGAUGGGCCUUCCUUUAAGUUUCAGUCAGCCAUCUGGGAUAAUCUGUCCAGGAUUAAGUCUGUUACUCAUGGGAACACUUGCAGACCCACUUAGGGCCUAAAGGACAGACAUAGGAGGAAGGGAAUGGAAGCCUCACACUGUGUGGGAGCUGCUGCCAAGGCGUCUGGGUCUGCUUAGCCGGGAGGAAUAGUCCCAGGAUAAUGGCAAUCUGUUUCAUGAUCAGAAUUGAAGUGCUUUCUUCUUCGAAGUUUCAUCUGUCUCAUAGCAGCAUGACUGGCACUGGGAAUACAGAGACUGAAAAUACAGUCAUGGCCUCAAAGAACUCACAUUCUAGUGGAGAGAAAGACAAGUAAACAGGCCUAGUACAAAGCCCAGCUCGGUAAAUAUUUGAUCAAUAACUGCAGCUGAUGAACUGACAAAAGUACAAACACUAUGGAGACAUGAAUAUUCAACAAAAGUUCAAAGAGAUGGCAAAGCGAAGAAACUGGAAGUAAGAAACAAAGACAAAGAGGGAAGGAAUAUCUGCAGCUAUAGCGAGUCAGAGGUAACUGGCUCAGUAAUGAUAUUUUCCUUCUCAU